GAAGCUCUCUCGUAGCUAGAGGUUGAGUUUCUUGUAGCAAUCUCCUUAUGAAAUAUGUGCCACCAUAAUAUGAUUGUCGUUGGUAGAUUAUAAUUGUCUUAGAUAUGCAUUAGAUAGUGGGUCCGCGUAAGCUAGAAGUUAAGGUUCUUAUCGAAGAAAGUAAGGACACCCCUUUUUAGUGUGGGGUAGACACCGGAUUCUAUGUUAUAUCUCACAUGUUCUAUAGGUCGGUUAUGGUUGCAUCCAAAAAAACUCAACCAAGGAUUAUUUAAAGAAGUAUCUCACAAGUUUUUUUUAUAGAUUUUGAGCUUGCAUUAACCAUGAUCACGAUUAUGUUUUGUAAUAUCUUAUCUUAUGUUUAAGCUUGGUCUCUGCAUAUCACAAAAAGGUGUAGGGUCCAACACUUUGAUUCUAUAGUGUCCAGGGAUCACUAGUAGAUAUUGAGGAGUGAUGAUUCCUCAAGUUCUGAGGACCAAACAUUUAUUGUUUAUUGUAUUUACCUUUCAGUUAUUGUCUCUGAUGCAUGUGUUAUGUCCCAAUCCCUUUUGAGGUAAUAGAUGUCUUUGAGACUAUGUAGACUUCCACUAUGUUUGUGACAAUUUUUUUUAUGAUAUAAAUUGUCCUUUUAAAUUCGUUAA